rnacentral:rRNA from 1 species
AUUGAACGCUGGCGGCAGGCCUAACACAUGCAAGUCGAGCGGAUGAAGGGAGCUUGCUCCUGUAUUCAGCUGCGGACGGGUGAGUAAUGCCUAGGAAUCUGCCUUGUAGUGGGGGAUAACGUCCGGAAACGGGCGCUAAUACCGCAUACGUCCUGAGGGAGAAAGGGGGGGAUCUUCGGACCUCACGCUAUCAGAUGAGCCUAGGUCGGAUUAGCUAGUUUGUGAGGUAAAGGCCUACCAAGGCGACGAUCCGUAACUGUGCUGAGGGGAUGAUCAGUCACACUGGAACUGAGACACGGUCCAGACUCCUACGGGAGGCAGCAGUGGGGAAUAUUGGACGAUGGGCGAAAGCCUGAUCCAGCCAUGCCGCGUGUGUGAAGAAGGUCUUCGGAUUGUAAAGCACUUUAAGUUGGGAGGAAGGGAAGUAAGUUAAUACCUUGCUGUUUUGACGUUACCAACAGAAUAAGCACCGGCUAACUUCGUG